rnacentral:misc_RNA from 1 species
CGAGCGGCAGUGACUUCGCCGCUGCUGUAGUUCCCCGGCUGGAUGCGGUGACUGGUGCCAGUGCUCAGGCGCCCGCUGCCCUUGACCUCCCGCCCCGCGAGCCCUAACUCAGCGCAGGAGGACCGGCUGCCGCCGCCGCCGCCGCCAGAGCCUUGGCUGCCCAGUUGCCAGUCCUACCAUGGUCGGAGGUAACCUUCCUGGCUCCAGUCACAUGGCCAGAUAAGGUGGUGUGUGUGGGCAUGAAUUAUGUGGACCACUGCAAAGAACAGAACGUGCCCGUGCCCAAGGAGCCCAUCAUCUUCAGCAAGUUUGCCAGCUCCAUCGUGGGGCCCUAUGAUGAGGUGGUCCUCCCACCACAGAGCCAGGUGACCUCAAUUUGGCCAAUGAGGGACCUUCAAGUUUGUUCCAUCCCCAAGCUUUUAGCAUAUAUUUGCUUUCUGGCCAAGACGUUCCAGGCUCAUCAUGUACUGUCUGUCUUGGACCAAGGAACCCAGUGCUCCUUAGUGGGGAGUGGUAUUAGAGACCAACAUCUGGAUGUCAGGUGUACUUAUACCAACUCUGGUUAUUAUUAGAAAGAGCCACCAAUUUUGAAGGCCAAAUUAUAUCUAUUUUAUAGUGUAUUUUAUGGAUUAUGGGAGAGGCUGAGCAUUUUUUCAUGUUUUGUGGCCAUGUCCGUUACCUUUUUGUGAAUUGCUUACUCAAGUCCUUUGUGGCAUGUCAAUCUUUCUCUUACUAAAGUGAGUUAAUAGAUUAAAACACUUAGAACAGUGCCUGA